ensembl:snRNA U5 U5 spliceosomal RNA
AAUAUUGCUUUCUCUUCAGUUCGUAUAAAUCUUUCGCCUUUUACUAAAGAUUUCCGUGGAGAGGAACAUUUAUGAUAUGGUAAUAACUAGAGGACCAAAGUGGGCUUAAGGCCCCUUU